rnacentral:tRNA from 1 species
UCCCAGGUAGCUUAAUGGUAAAGCACCCAAAGGCAAUUAGGGAUCUGGGUUUAAGUCCCGGUUUGGGCU